GAGUUUGAUCCUGGCUCAGAUUGAACGCUGGCGGCAUGCCUUACACAUGCAAGUCGAACGGCAGGCACGGUGCUUGCACCUGGUGGCGAGUGGCGAACGGGUGAGUAAUACAUCGGAACGUGGUCCUGGAGUGGGGGAUAGCCCGGCGAAAGCCGGAUAUACCGCAUACGCUCUAUGGAGGAAAGCGGGGGAUCUUCGGACCUCGCGCUCAAGGGGCGGCCGAUGGCAGAUUAGGUAGUUGGUGGGGUAAAGGCCUACCAAGCCGACGAUCUGUAGCCGGUCUGAGAGGACGACCAGCCACACUGGGACUGAGACACGGGCCCAGACUUCCUACGGGAGGCAGCAGUGGGGGAAUUUUGGACAAUGGGCGCAAGCCUGAUCCAGCAAUGCCGCGUGUGUGAAGAAGG
rnacentral:rRNA from 2 species